UUUAAUCUUUUUAAAUGCAAGUAAAUAUUUAAAUAUAUUUCUUCAAAAAAAUAUUUAAACAUAAAACAUAGAGACUUUUUCUAUAACACAUUAUUACAUUUUUACCAUCUCAAUAAUUAUAUAUAUAAGGAUAAAAUGACAAUUUUAUAUAGUAGAGUAAGGUGGAGCAAACAAUUAUCAUAAUUGCUCCACACCCAUUUUCUCAAAAAAAAAAAAAAAAUCGUCCCGCCCAACCCCAC
rnacentral:lncRNA from 1 species